CCUUCGGUUGUAAGCUCUUUCAGCGGGACAAAACGGCGAUCGCGAAUAACGAUUGUUAAUGAUGGUACCCGAAGAAGAAGCACCGGCUAACUACGUGC
rnacentral:rRNA from 1 species